AAGUCGUAACAAGGUUUCCGUAGGUGAACCUGCGGAAGGAUCAUUAACACGUAUCCAACGUUAAACCCCCCGUGAACCUUUAUUGUGCUCGUCUGCCCUGUUGGAAAGCGGCAAUCCCUGGUAAAUCAUCGCCGAACAGUUUUGAUUCAGGGACUUCUGUGGAGCGCGGAAAACGAGGCGAGGCAAGUGGUCUGGCAUCCCUCUGCUUGUUAGUGUCUGACAGUGUCACUGACUGUGUAAGGAUAACGCCUCACGGUUGCUAGAGGUCGAUCACCGACCGGCAGACAUGUCACAGGGUCACCACGCCCCUUAAUCACUCCACUUGAAAAUGCCCCGCCUAGUGGUAACGCGCUAGGUAAAAAAAACCGAACAACUGUUAACAAUGGAUAUCUUGGUUCUC
rnacentral:misc_RNA from 1 species